GCAGGGGUGCGCCGAAGGGCGCAAAGGCUGAAGCUGAAGCCGAAGCUGACGAACGUGGCCCAGUGCAGGUUCGACCCCUGCCCCCGGCG
rnacentral:tRNA from 1 species